rnacentral:lncRNA from 1 species
CGAAUUCUCACAUCGCCAGUGAACUCUUGCAAAGUGUAAAGCCUAAUUCAGAAACUAGUGCUUAAAUACACUUCCUGGGUUACCUGCAUGAGAUCUUCAUUUGAUUCAUGUUCUGUUCUCUGAUGCUUUCUCUCUUGUCCUUCAGCCAUUGAUUCCAUCACGAAGAACAAAGAAAGUAUGAUAAAUGCAGCAUCACUGGACAUUGAUUGUUUCCAUUAGGCAAACUUGUUCCAUGCUUGUAGGAAAUCCAAUUCAACUCAGUCAUUCAGAAAAAUAUUACCUUUUAAAUUGUUGCAAAUUUGAAAAUGAAUAUGAAUAUUGUAUUACAUAAGGAACUCUGAAUCUUGAUUGUGAACAGAAAACCAAAAUACUCAUUGUUCACAGGAUUUGUCCUGAUAACAAAUGAAAAUUAAAUCAACAUUUUG